rnacentral:rRNA from 1 species
UACGUAGGGGGCAAGCGUUGUCCGGAUUUAUUGGGCGUAAAGAGCGUGUAGGCGGCCAGAUAGGUCAGCUGUGAAAACUCGAGGCUCAACCUCGAGAUGUCGGCUGAAACCAUCUGGCUAGAGUCCGGAAGAGGAGAAUGGAAUUCCCGGUGUAGCGGUGAAAUGCGCAGAUAUCGGGAAGAACACCCGUGGCGAAGGCGGUUCUCUGGGACGGUACUGACGCUGAGACGCGAAAGCGCGGGGAGCGAACAGG